rnacentral:rRNA from 1 species
CCUACGGGAGGCAGCAGUGAGGAAUAUUGGUCAAUGGGCUUACGCCUGAACCAGCCAAGUCGCGUGAGGGAAGACUGCCCUAUGGGUUGUAAACCUCUUUUGUCAGGGAGCAAUUGGCGCUACGUGUAGCGUUAUCGAGAGUACCUGAAGAAAAAGCAUCGGCUAACUCCGUGCCAGCAGCCGCGGUAAU